rnacentral:rRNA from 1 species
GACGAACGCUGGCGGCGUGCUUAACACAUGCAAGUCGAACGGUGAAGCGCCUUCCUUUUUGGUGGGUGUGGAUGAGUGGCGAACGGGUGAGUAACACGUGAGUAACCUGCCCCCUUCUUCUGGAUAACCGCAUGAAAGUGUGGCUAAUACUGGAUAUUCUGGGUCUGUCGCAUGAUGGGUCUGGGAAAGAUAUUGUUUCGGUGGGGGAUGGGCUCGCGGCCUAUCAGCUUGUUGGUGGGGUGAUGGCCUACCAAGGCGGUGACGGGUAGCCGGCCUGAGAGGGUGGACGGUCACACUGGGACUGAGACACGGCCCAGACUCCUACGGGAGGCAGCAGUGGGGAAUAUUGCACAAUGGGCGCAAGCCUGAUGCAGCGACGCCGCGUGAGGGAUGGAGGCCUGCGGGUUGUGAACCUCUUUCGCCAGUGAAGCGGGCCUGCCUCGUUUGUGGGUGGGUUGACGGUAGCUGGAUAAGAAGCGCCGGCUAACUACGUG